CAAUGCGUUCUCUUCCUAUGGCCAAAUCCUCGACUCGAUCGUGAUGCGCGACCGUGAUACCGGCCGCUCCCGCGGCUUCGGCUUCGUUACCUUCAGCUCCGGCCAGGAGGCCCAGAACGCCAUCGCCAGCCUCAACGAGCAGGAGCUUGAUGGCCGCCGCAUCAAGGUUAACUUGGCCAACGCCCGCGGCUCCGGCGGAGGCGGUGGUGGCUACGGUGGUGGAGGCUACCAGUCCGGUGGAG
rnacentral:misc_RNA from 1 species